AUGUGCUGAGCCAAAGGCAGAUGCUUCACCCACUGAGCUCCCCAGCGCCCCUGUAAGUCUCACUAGGAUGUUGAGGAAAACUGCUUUAAGCCUGUUUGUCGGGCUGGGGAGAACUGACAUCCUUAAGAUACUGAGUCUUCCAAUCCAUGAACAUGCCAAAGUAAGGACAUAAUCCUGGACGAGGGACCUGUCCUGCUGCCCAGCCACCUCCUCUCCUGCCCAGUGAUGACAGCUAGACCCGGAAGGCUGGCAGGUGCACAUUCCCACGUCCACUCUCACUCGCCGGGGUGAGGUCCCUGCCUUCUGGGUGGUAAAAAAAUCUGUGUUCAGCUCUUCUUUGGGGUUUUCUGACGUCCCUGUGGGUUUUUUGUUUUUGUUUUUUGUUUAAAAAUAAACCAGAGAACUUGCUGGUUGCAAAA